ensembl:lncRNA
CUGCUCUGUGAUAAAACAGGAGUGGUAGGAUAAGUGAAACUGAGAAAAGGGCUCAGGUUGGAGGCUGACCUUCACCAGACAGAGCUCCCAGCAAACUGGGGCUCUGUGCCCAGCAAAGCCUUAGGCAUCAGCACAGAGCAUCAAUUCCCAAUGGGCUCUAUCUCCACCACUGGUAUGCUAUGUGGCUGCACUGGGAGAGGAGGCGCUAAGGUUGCAGCUAGGGGCAGUGGAUGUCUUUGCUGGGGAUCCUUGGUUUUUCAUCUUCCCACUUCCUAUGUCACUGGAGGGAGAUUUCCCUCCUUGCAGAUGCCCACUGGGACGUUCCUGCAAGAGCAGCCCCUGAGUGACACUGUUUGGAAUGCGAUCUACACAUACAUUCCUCUUUCACUGUGUGUGUGAGGGAGUGGAAAUGCUGCAUGUCCCAAACCUGUCAGAGAAGUUCAAGCCAUUGAAAAGGUUGACAUUUUGAUCCCAAAGUGACUGUAUCUCUCGUCAUGCCUUGCUGGAAGAAGGACCGCCGUCUGUGAUCAACUCCCACACGUUUCCAGCAAGGUUUUCCUUCUGUUCUAAAACUGAAUUUAGAACAGCUCUCCUUGGGGAAUUUGUUCACAAAUAGGAUGGCUACCAUGAACUACUCUCAAGAAAACUUUCAGUAUCUUCUUCAGAGUGCUUUCAACUUCCUGUGCAUGAGCCCAUUAGCUACAUAAAAGAGAGAUAUUAUGACCUGCAUGAUGUCCAUGUACAACAACACUGCAUGUCUCUAGGGAAGCAGAAGAUGUGCACAGAGCUGCUGAUACCACUAAGGGACAGUAGGAAUAGGUGGGCUGGAGAAAAGAGCUGGAACUGCUGACAGUACUCCUUCCAGAGCUCCAACUGCCAUGACCUGCAUUUUCCUGAUUCAUCUUUAAGUUUCACCUACUUGAAUGGGCUCCCACAUUUGUUCACUUCUAAAGCUUACUGAAGAAGUGGGAUUAGGAGACAAUACAUAAUCACAACUGGAUUAGAGAAAAAAAGUGAAAAUAUAUUUUAGUCUUGGAAUAUAAAUAGUGGCAGGGAAUCAAACAUUCUGAUCAAAGGGCAAAUCUUCAGUUCUGGAACACAUUUUGAGAGGGCAACAGUGAGCAUCUUCCUGCUUGUCUGCAAGAGAACUGUGACCAUGGGGACAUGGAAUCAGUGCGAGAAAAGCCCCAUGUGCUUGGUCUUGUGCUGCUGCUUGCCCAGGGGCUGUGUGGAUGUCAGGGGUUUUGGAAUCGCGGUUUCUCUUUCACUGGAAGCAUGAACAAAUCUCUGGCAGCCUGAGCAGAGAGACAAAGAUUUGAUAAGG